rnacentral:rRNA from 1 species
AUUGAACGCUGGCGGCAGGCCUAACACAUGCAAGUCGAGCGGAUGAAGGGAGCUUGCUCCUGGAUUCAGCGGCGGACGGGUGAGUAAUGCCUAGGAAUCUGCCUGGUAGUGGGGGACAACGUUUCGAAAGGAACGCUAAUACCGCAUACGUCCUACGGGAGAAAGCAGGGGACCUUCGGGCCUUGCGCUAUCAGAUGAGCCUAGGUCGGAUUAGCUAGUUGGUGAGGUAAAGGCUCACCAAGGCGACGAUCCGUAACUGGUCUGAGAGGAUGAUCAGUCACACUGGAACUGAGACACGGUCCAGACUCCUACGGGAGGCAGCAGUGGGGAAUAUUGGACAAUGGGCGAAAGCCUGAUCCAGCCAUGCCGCGUGUGUGAAGAAGGUCUUCGGAUUGUAAAGCACUUUAAGUUGGGAGGAAGGGUUGUAGAUUAAUACUCUGCAAUUUUGACGUUACCGACAGAAUAAGCACCGGCUAACUCUGUGCCAGCCGCCGCCGUAA